rnacentral:rRNA from 1 species
GUGUUGGCGGGGUAACGGCCCACCAAGCCGACGAUCAGUAGCCGACCUGAGAGGGUGACCGGCCACAUUGGGACUGAGACACGGCCCAAACUCCUACGGGAGGCAGCAG